GCCCAGACACUCGCCGCCCGG
rnacentral:siRNA from 1 species